GAUGAAGAACGUAGCGAAAUGCGAUAAGUAAUGUGAAUUGCAGAAUUCAGUGAAUCAUCGAAUCUUUGAACGCACCUUGCGCCUUUUGGUAUUCCGAAAGGCACACCUGUUUGAGCGUCAUGAAUACCUCAAUCUCCAUCUUUUCUUCGGAUUGAUGGGUGACUUGGAUGUUGAGCCCUGCUGGUAUGCUAUAUCAGCUGGCUUUAAACUUAUUAGCCGGCUCUGUACUGGAUCGGUUUGACUCGACGUGAUAAUAUUAUCGUUGAGGAUGCAUGUCUCAUGCAGCCGGAAAGUAUCAAAGCAGCUUCUAGCUUGCCUCUAGUGCACUUUUACAUUUUAGACCUCAGAUCAGGUGGGACUACCCGCUGAACUUAAGCAUAUCAAUAAGCGGAGGA
rnacentral:misc_RNA from 1 species